AUAAAAUUCAAACAUCUCUAACACGAUCUUACUCCUAGAAUAGACAUCCGCAUCCCCGGAUUAUAUUUGGGGUAAGCCGGCUCACCAUAGUGUGCACCCCAUCAGCACAGGGCUCAUUACUGGGAGGGAUGGGCGACCCCACACACAGCAUCACCGUUCAGUAAGGGACAAUACAAACAUCAUAAAAGUGACUGGAAGCAGGAAAAUAGUAAAAAGCCUAAAUCGCAGUCUACCGCGUUCUAAACCUGAACGGACUACAGAAUAUCCGCUAGUAACAGGUCAUCGUAUCUCUGCCGCAAUUAAACCUGCAGGGAAAUAAGUGUUUAUGGUUAACACCCAAAACCGUCACGCUGUAAUAGGUGU